rnacentral:rRNA from 1 species
UACGUAGGGGGCGAGCGUUGUCCGGAGUUACGUGGGCGUAAAGGGCAUGCAGGCGGUCGGACGCGUUUUGUGUGACAGCGGGUGGCUCAACUACCCGAAGCAUGCGAAAGACGGUCGGACUUGAGGACUCGAGAGGGACACGGAAUUCCGGGUGGAGUGGUGAAAUGCGUAGAGAUCCGGAGGAACACCGAAGGCGAAGGCAGUGUCCUGGCGAGUGACUGACGCUGAGGUGCGAAAGCCAGGGGAGCGAACGGG